UAACAGGUCUUAAGCUACCACCAC
rnacentral:misc_RNA from 1 species